rnacentral:lncRNA from 1 species
ACUCACUCUUCAUGUGACAGUAAAAGCAGUCAUGGAACAAACAAACUUCCUGCCAAGGCUCCUUCUUGUUACCGCAAACUUUCAAGUACUCCAAGAUGAUGAUUAAGGUGGGCCCUAAUCCAAUCUGACUGGUGUCCUCGUAAGAAGAGAAGAUGAGGACACAGACAAACACAGAGGGAAGACUGUGUGAGGGCACAGGGAGAAAAUGACUCUCUACAACAAGGAGAGAGGCUUCAGAAUAAACCAAUUCUGCUGACACCUCUCAAACUUCUAGCCUCCAGAAGAGUGAGGAAAUCCAUUUCUGUUGUAUAAGCCACCCAGUUUGUGGUGUUUAUUAUGGCGGCCCUAGCAAGGGAAUACAGAGGGAGACAGGUUCAGACAUGUAAAGCGAGCCUUUAAAAGACACCACGUGCACCAGUGGAGCCCCAGGCCCAGGCCCCACAGACCUUGCCUCCUGGUCCAGUCCUUACUUUAUCUCAGGAUGUGACAUUGCGUUUCUUAUGGAAAAGAUCUCACUAACCUACUUCAUUUAGGAAUGCAAUUUAAUUGGCAACUCAACGGUGAUGUCGCUUCUUUUGCCAUUUUUCUGCAACACCAAAGGAAAAAAUUUUAAGCCAGCUUUUUUUAGCUGCAAAGAUGACAAAUGUUAUCAACAAUAUCCAACCAGAGUAUAUUUUCAUCCCUUUUCAUCCCGUCACGAUAAGCCAGAAGUAUUUGUUGCCAGAAAUGGAAAACAGCUUGUUCAUCAGCCAGAUGAUCGCAGUGCUCAGAAGUUCCACUCGUUUGCCAUGUGUGAAAAGUUAAGAAUUGAAAACAGACAGGCUUGCUCUGCUUAAACCGUGAGUUCUGUGAAGCAAGAGAAAGAGAAAUUUGGAUACUAGGAGAAGAGUUGUGAGAUGGUUUCGACGGCAAAGUGAACAGGGCCUUUUCACAUUAUUCUGAGAUGGGACCUCUGGGUUGAUUUGAUAGUGGAUAUGACUGUUCUCUAAUUGGCUAGAAGAUGAGUCUAAAGUUACCAACCACCGGAGGAUACUUUUGUGUUCUAGAACAAAUUCCAAUGUCCUACACAAAUGUGAUGCUGGGGACUUCUCUGUUACCUGACACCAAAUUUCCUAGACAUUUCCAUUAUACUUCCUCUUCCUGAUUAUCUUGAGUGGGAAAUCUCCAUGAGUUCUUAGUAGAAGGCAGAAGUAUACAGUGGACCUGGGCCUUCAUUAGAAACCAUGAGACUUCAAAUGAGAGCCUGAAUUAUUCCUUUAUGUUUUCAUUUAUGUGAGAAAAUAAGGGAUAUUGUUGACUUUUUAUGAGAUUAAGUUACCCAGUUAUCCAUCCUAUUAUUAUAAGUUUUAGUGUUUGCAAAGAGAUUUCUGAUCGUUUUUAUUAGUCUCUUUGUAAUAGCUUCAGGGACUUUUUGACAAAAGAGAGAACCAUUUUAAGCAGUAGAAAUGUAGGCUUACAGAGGUCAAAUGGUUAAUUUGAGAUUGCCCAGCAAAACAAAACAAUACGAAAAAGAACACCUGAAGAAAAAUCAAGAUUCAUACUCUGGGCUGUAAUUACCAUUCUGUAGGUUUCCGGAAGCUCAUAUAGUCACAUUACAUUUUGUUCAUGUCGUUAGAAAUCAUUUGCAGUUCAACACUUAGAUUCCCUCCUGUGUUUGAUUUGCAAGGUCUUGGAAGUUAACUUGAACUCAAGGAUUUGUCUACCUAAGAGAGGCAAAUAGAAAAACCCCUAAAGCCACCUGACCUGAUUCUUCUUUGUUAAGACCAGCUCAGAAUAGAGUGAAAUAAGCAAGCUGCAGAAAGACAAUGCUACGUUGAGUUCCACUUCCUCUUGAUAAAUUCAGAACAGCCAGUCCAUCUUAAGGGUGGAUGUUUUUAGCAGCAGGGAGUGGUAGUUGGAUGGAGGCAAGCGGAUGGAAAGGAGGAGAGAGGAGAAGAGAGACAAACUCAGGUGCCCCAGAAAAGUCCACUUUCUCCGUCCCCAUUCAGGCCACCUUCAUCUUCCCCCACCCUCUGCUGGCCUUUCUGGGGGCUCAGGUUUUGAGCUGACUGAGCCCUCAGCGGGAGACCACAACGCAUUUUCAGAUGAAAGGACAACCCUGAAGGUACCUAUUACAUGUCUGUGAGCAGAGAAACAAAGGCCCGGCUGCUGACACCCUCCCACUAACUUGAGUUUUAAUGGUAGGUUUGAUUUCCUCACGCUUAGCUGAAAGAAAGGGAAAAAACUAAGCGGAAAGAACGAGGGUGUGGGUAUCUGUGGUGGUGGGGAAACGACAGCUGUUGUAUUCAUGGUUAAUCAGGUGUGUCUGGCUUUGUGUCGCAUCUGUCUGCUACUGUUGCCAGGCCACAUGUGAAAGGGAACCGAGGGGAAGGGGCCAUUCAUGUUCAAAGCCAGUAGCACUGACCUCUGCCUCGUUCUCUUCAGGGUAGGAAAGCUUGUCUAUUUAACUUUCCCUAUUAUAGGAAGCUGUAAUUCUACUCUAUUAGCCCACCCUAACCAUUUUGGCCUGACAAAUGCAAGCUGCAUCCAGAAUGCCAUAAAUCUGCAUGGGAAGGAGUCCUCCUCCCUCCUUCCCAUUUUUUUCCUUUGGGGUUCGGUUCGAUUUGUCAAACAAGAGAAAACCAGCAAGAGAGAGAAAAAUGAGAACUCAGGGCAUCUUGGUUCACCUUCCAUCUUAAAUGGGCCUAGGGACCGAGAUGGGGGCUGGGAGGCACCCCAAGGUCAAGCCUGGAGCACUGGUUCCCCCUCCAGAUCUGUUUAUCUCACGAGUCCCACAUGCGUGUGGUGAUUGCGUCAGACCUUAGUCAUCUCCCUGGCACCAAAUCCUCCUCCUGGAUCCUUGAUCCCCCUCCUCCUUCUCUGCCCACAUACAGAGGGACCAUGAUGGAGGAGGGGAGGCUUCUGGCUUCUCCUGGAGCCAGGCCUGUGUUCUAGAUAUUGCUGGCCCAGGCCUGCCAGGCACGACUCUCCUCUCUGGCAUAUGGAGAAACAGCUGAAAUGGAAACAACCCCCAAUGCACCACAUUGCACUAAAGCUUAGCGUCAGAGUUCAAAGGACUACUCCAAUUGGAGAUCAAACUGAUCCCUCCCACUGUGGCCUUUUUUGAGGGGGUCCAUCACAACCCUUCGGGGGUGCUUUUCUCCAGCACUUCCGCUUCAGGGCCAGCCCUUGUGUUUCUUGGAGUAAAUGAUUGCUGUCAGCAUUUCCAACACCAUGGAGUUCUGGCUCCAACUUUGGCUUCCUGGAGAAUGGGCCAUCAUAGACUUAUUACAGGGUUCAGAAGAGCUUGCCAUCUGCAAUCUAUUUUAGUUGUCACUGCCUCUUAAAAUAGGCACUAACUUUUAUCCCAUCACAUUAAUUCCUCUCAUGUUGAGGCUAGAGUCGAGCUUUUGGGGUGUGUGUAUGCACGUAACUAUCUUUUUAAAAUCAGAAGGGUUAUUUUCCUAAGACAUGGGUUAUCAGCAGCACAGCUGAGUUUCCUCUUUCUACUGGCCUGUGCUGAUGAAGUUGGUUGCGUUAUUGACCUGCAGCUUUGGGGUCAGAAUGCUUUUGGUUCCCUGAUGUAGAAGGACAUUGCAAAACUAUCCCAGUGCCCUGUGCACUGUCUUUCUCUCUCUGAUACUCCCCAGAUCUCCAAAUUUUAAUGGUGUCAAUAGACAUAACUCAUGCUCCUGCUAGAAGCCUAGCACCCUGCUAGGCUCUGUGAGGACUUUGAGAAUUUGUCAUCUUGUGAGACGCCAUGAAUAAUGCAAGAAAUAGCAAAACAGGUCUGAAAAUGAAGUCUAACUAAAAAGUGUACAAAUCCUAAGUGUACAGCUCUAUGAAUUAUUACUAAGUGAAUAUGCUCACGUAACCAUCACCUAGAUUAAGAAACAGAACAUUACCGCCACUGGAAACUUCUUAAAGUUCUACCUAGGUGGACACCUUGUUAUAUCUAAAACAAUUCUACAACGUGAUUGGGAGUGAGAUUUAGUUCUUAAUUAUGUGGCUAUGGAAAUGUAGAUUUUGAAAGGUUCCCAUUGGCUGGAAGAGAUUUGCCCAUGGGAAGAUUUUGAGUAUGCCCUGGGCUGGCCUGCUGAAGUUGAACUUUAGAGAACCCGGGCGGGCUGGCUGUGCAAUGCUCUUGGCUCCAGAGAAGGACAUGCAAGAUUCUGGCAUCCUUUUUAAAAAAAUUGUGGUAAAAUAUACAUAACAUAAAAUUAAUCAUUGUAAUCAUUUUUAAGUGUGCAGCUCAGCAGUGUUAAGUACAGAUUGUUGCGCAAUGAUCACCACCAUCCAUCCCCAGAGCUCUUUCAUCUUGAAAAACGGAAACUCAAUACCCAUUAAACAGCAACUCCCUAUUUCCCUCCACCCCCAUACCCGGUAACUACCA